AUGUGAGGAGCUUAGCAAUACUGGA
rnacentral:piRNA from 1 species